GCUCCUCUCUCCAGCUUCCUGUUUCCCAUGCCUCGCACAUCCUCCAAAGUGAGAUCUGUUUUGGAGUCAAGAGAAAGCAUAGACUGCACAGGGCCAAGCUUCCUCCCACUGCCCACUGAUGAGCAGAUUUGAGGGAGGCCCAGGGACUGUAGUGUGAGUAGUGAUAAGACAAAGUCACCCUCCACACUGUCACCCUCUAUAUUGUCACCCUCCAUGCUGUCGCCCUCCAGGAAGUCACCCUCCACACCAUCACAGGCACAUUCUCUUAAUCUUUUUUGGUGUUGUUUGUUUGUUUGUUUGUUUGUUUUUCAAGACAGGGUUUCUCUGUGUGGCCCUGGCUGUCUUGGAACUUGCUCUGCAAACCAGCGUGACCUUAAACUCAAGAGAUUCUCGGGUCUGCCUCAGCCUCCGGAGUUCUGGGAUUAAAGGUGCUGCACCACCACCACCUGGCACCUUAUAAUCUUUUAAGAACUGGACUCAGGAAAAAGGUGAGGUAUAACUGAAGGCUAUAACCGAGUGGUCUUCCUCCAUCUGCCACCAUACCAUCUCACCAAACUGCACGUACCAGCUGAAGUGUCGUGUGGGAAAUAUUUCAUGCUGAAACCAUAGAUGCCAGCCUAUGGGAUGGUGCUGCCCACAAUUAGCGUGGGUCUCCCUACCUCAGCUAACCCAAUGGAGCAGCUCCCUCACGGACGUGUCCAGAGGUCUGUCUUCAAGGUGGCUUUAGACCUGCCAAGUUGACAGUAAAUACCAACCACCACACACAACAUUCACGUUCAUUCUUCGGUGGAACCUGCGCUUCUAAAGGUCAGACUUAUGUGCUUUAAAAUUAGACCAGAGCCUUGUCCAGUAUUCGCACAAUCACAGAGUUCUGCAAAAUCAUUUGCUGAACCUCGGCAAGGUUCAUAUGAGAGGCCACCUGAUGCUACAGCUUGCCCUUCUGAGUUAUUUUUCCCCACGAAGAGGGAGAAAAUGGUUCCAAGAUUGAUAAGGAAAAUAAUAUAAUGAGCUAUAAACUGAUUCCAGUACUCACUGAAGGCAUGUGGAGAACAAAGGAUUUCCAUGAAUUGCUGUUGGGUGUCUGAAGUGUUUCUGCUUCCUUGGAGAGCAGUUUGGCAGUUUCUAUUAAGAUGAAAAAAAAUUAUACAUUCCCUUAGACCUGUCAACUACAAAUUGUAGGAAUUUAUCCUAUAGAAACAAAAGUAACAAUGUAUUAAGCAUAUGUUAACAUGUUUUCUUUUAUUACAUUGUGAUAGCAAAGUAGUGGCGAAUAUAUGGAUGUCUAACCACAGUGAGACUGCUGAAUAUAUUGUGGUGUUUAAAGAUACUAUGAAAUCUUAUGCAGACAGAAAACAAAAACAAAAACAAAAAUGAGAAAACCCCACAGCUGUGCAAGCUAGUUUUAUGGAGUUGCUAGCACAAUGUAAGGUUGAGUAAGACACACUAGAUGUAGAAAAGAAUGUUAAAUAUAUUUUUAUUUUAUAAACUAAGGAAUGAAAGAGAGCUCUGGACAUCUGUGGAUUGUGAAUUAGCUUGUCUUAGUUAGACAUGUGUAUAUCUGAGUUGGGAGGGCACCUGCUCAAAUGUGUCUGGAUUCUUGUAUCACACCACAAAGAACUGGACUGGAGAGACACAUAAUUGGAAGUAGAGAGGCUGAAGAGGUGGCUCAGUGGUUACAGGCACACACUGUACAGAGGACUGGAGCUUGACUCUAAGAACCCAUGCUGGACAGAUGGCAACUGCCUGUAGCUCCAGUUCCAGGGGACGUGACACCUCCGCUUUCCAAGGGCCCUGCAUCCACGUGUACAUAUCCAACCCCACCCACACAUGCAUAGUCUUUCUCUGCAUUCAGCUUCCUGUUUGUGUUGGGCUUGAUCUGGAUUUUUCUUAGUCUUUACUGUCUUGCCACAGUAUGGACAAGAAGGAAAUUAGGAAAAGAAAUAUUAGCAUGGGAGACCUAGAGGAGAGGCCGAGGCUGGUGUGGGAAGUGUGUGUGGUAUUUACAUGUGUGUACUGUGUGCUGUAGAGACCAGAGGAGGGCUUCAAAUGUCCCAUUCUACCACUUUACACAUUGUUCCGUUGAGAUGAGAUUGCUCAGUGAACCUGGAACUAGGUUGGCAGACAGAAGCUCCGCAGGUCACUGUGUCUCCACCCUCUAUAGAGCUGGGAUUAUGGGUGUGGGGGGGGGCGCACACCUGGGUUUUACAUGCUGUGGUCUGAAUUCAAGUGUUCUUGCUUGUGUAUCAAGUGUUCUUAGUCACUGAGCCAUCUCUCUUACUCUUAAGUAUUUACUUUAAUCUAUGUAUAUUUUGCAAACAUGUUGUGACAUUUUACCUUAGAGUAAAGAGAUCACCUCCUGGACCUUAAGAUCAGUGCUUAAUGUCUCUUCAUAGAAAAGUCCCGUUUCCCCUAGGUCCAUCUUCCCCUGACACUGCAGGGGAAGCAUUGCCAGCUCCUGAGAAUCUCCGUAGAGUGGGGCACACCAAUCACACUAAUGCCUUCUGCAUUUGUCCAAGACUAUGCCAUCUGCAGACCUUCUCAUCAGGCUUUAAAUGAUGCUCUAAAGAGUGACCCUCCCCUUUGGACCCUAAGGCACUGGGAGUCUUAUUCUGGGAAAAGGAAAAGUGGGUAGGUUUCCGUGACAGCCAGGCGGGGAACUUAUUUCUAAGAAGAGGCCUCACACCAUUCUGACAAGUUAUCCAACCACCUUGCAGGACAGACUGGCUCCAGACAAUGUCAAAUCAUUGAUGAUCAAGACCUCACCUUGGUCAGGGCUGCUUAGUUAUGCAUCCUCCUUGUCAGUACCCAGAGGAUAGACCUCAGGGGUUACUGUAUCUCUUCGUUUCUCUCUCCAGUGUAGCCACAUCGAAUGAAUCUCCUUUUUGUGAUUUUACCAUUACUUGUUUCAUUAAUUGGUCCCCUGAGAAUGGGUGAACAGUUGAGACUAGCUUAUUAGGUUGUACCCUAAACAUGUUGGUAACACUGCCUUUAGACAUUCAGAUAUUUAGACACUAUUGACAGAAAAAUAUUUUCUCUCAGUCUGGUUUUCAUACACUUGCAUUGGUCAGCCUUAGUGGCUUUCCAAGUCCACUGCUCACACUGGGAGCUCCUAUAUGAACAUGGUAAUACCUCAAAAUCCUCCAGAAGGAAAACACAGCAGUGGGAAAUACUGAUGAAAUUCCAUUGUGAGCAAAUAAGAGAAGACAGCAAACAUUUUAAAUCAUAAAAGCCCUGG
rnacentral:lncRNA from 1 species